rnacentral:rRNA from 1 species
UGGUGGCUAUAGCAAGGAGGUCACACCUGUUCCCAUGCCGAACACAGAAGUUAAGCUCCUUAGCGUCGAUGGUAGUCG